rnacentral:tRNA from 1 species
ACCUGGGUGGCUUAGUCAGUUAAGCAUCUGACUUCAGCUCAGGUCAUGAUCUCACGGUCCGUGGGUUCAAGCCCCACGUCGGGCU